rnacentral:lncRNA from 1 species
UAAAUUCAUGUGGGUACACAGGCAAAAGUUUGAAGUCUGCAAAACUUCGAAGCCUCUAGUCCCUGCAAUAUCCUGGUGUCUUCUUCUUUGCAGGAGGGGUCCGAGAGAGAAAAACACCCCGUCUCUGGAGAAUCCACCUGAGCCCUCUUAACGUAACCAUCCUCAUCUACGUCUUACUGGCGACUGUCUUACUGCUGUCGUCUGGAUAUAUCGGACUGCGUAUCGUCCAGCUAGAGGAACAACUGACCUCCAUGGGGGCGUGGCCGGAGCUGGACGUCCAGCAUCCAUAUCAGGCAACGUGAAACAGAGAGGCAUCUACCAGGACCGUAAGUGCAUAUCAGCACCGUGCGAUUAUCGUAAAUUCUGCUGGUCAGAAGUCGGAGAGUUGGCAACCAUGUGCAACCAACUCCAAAAGCUGUGUCAGAGACUACAUUUUUACCUUCGCAAGAAAAACACUUCUUAAUUUUUAUUUUUAUUUUGC